CUACGGGAGGCAGCAGUCGAGGAAAUUUUUCAAUGCCCGAAAGGGUGAACGAGUAAGCCAGAGUGUUUUCUUUUUCGAAAACUUUUGUCUGUUGUAAAAAGACAGACGAAUAAGGACUGGGCAAGACCGGUGCCAGCCGCCGCGGUAAUCCCGGCGGUCCAAGUCGCAUCCACAUUUAUUAGGUCUAAAACAUCCGUAGCUUGUUUUGUAAGUCUCUUGUGAAAUUCCAUAUCUCAAGUAUGGAGCGUGCAAGAGAUACUACAAAGCUAUGAGACCGGAAGACGCAAAGAGUACGAUUGAGGUAGCGGUAAAAUGUGUUAAUCUUGAUCGGACUAACAGUGGCGAAGGCGCUUUGCGAGUACGGAUCUGACAGUGAGGGAUGAAGGCUAGGGGCGCAAAAGGGAUUAGAUACCCGGGUAGUC
rnacentral:rRNA from 1 species